UACGAAGGGGGGCUAGCGUUGCUCGGAAUCACUGGGCGUAAAGCGCACGUAGGCGGCUUUUUUAAGUCAGGGGGUGAAAUCCUGGAGCUCAACUCCAGAACUGCCUUUGAUACUGAGAAGCUUGAGUCCGGGAGAGGUGAGUGGAACUGCGAGUGUAGAGGUGAAAUUCGUAGAUAUUCGCAAGAACACCAGUGGCGAAGGCGGCUCACUGGCCCGGUACUGACGCUGAGGUGCGAAAGCGUGGGGAGCAAACAGG
rnacentral:rRNA from 1 species